CCUACGGGGCGCAGCAGUGGGGAAUAUUGCACAAUGGGGGGAACCCUGAUGCAGCGACGCCGCGUGGGCGAUGGAGUAUUUCGGUAUGUAAAGCCCUAUCGGCAGGGAAGAAGCUGACAGUACCUGACUAAGAAGCCCCGGCUAACUACGUGCCAGCAGCCGCGGUAAUACGUAUGGGGCAAGCGUUAUCCGGAUUUACUGGGUGUAAAGGGAGCGUAGGCGGCUGUGUAAGCCAGAAGUGAAAGCCCGAGGCUCAACCACGGGACUGCUUUUGGAACUACAUGGCUUGAUUGCAGGAGAGGCAA
rnacentral:rRNA from 1 species